UACGUAGGGACCGAGCGUUUGUCCGGAAUCAUUGGGCGUAAAGGGCGCGUAGGCGGCUCAGUAAGCGUGCGGUGAAAGCCCGGGCUCAACCCCGGGUCGGCCGUGCGAACUGCAGAGCUGGAGCACUGUAGAGGCAGGUGGAAUUCCGGGUGUAGCGGUGGAAUGCGUAGAGAUCCGGAAGAACACCGGUGGCGAAGGCGGCCUGCUGGGCAG
rnacentral:rRNA from 1 species